rnacentral:rRNA from 1 species
GGGGAAUAUUGCGCAAUGGGCGAAAGCCUGACGCAGCGACGCCGCGUGAGGGAUGAAGGUUUUCGGAUCGUAAACCUCUGUCAGAAAGGAAGAAACUACGCUGUGCUAAUCAGCAGUGUAUUGACGGUACCUUCAAAGGAAGCACCGGCUAACUCCGUGCCAGCAGCCGCGGUAAUACGGAGGGUGCAAGCGUUAAUCGGAAUUACUGGGCGUAAAGCGCACGUAGGCUGUAGUGUAAGUCAGGGGUGAAAUCCCACGGCUCAACCGUGGAACUGCCCUUGAUACUGCACAACUUGAAUCCGGGAGAGGGUGGCGGAAUUCCAGGUGUAGGAGUGAAAUCCGUAGAUAUCUGGAGGAACAUCAGUGGCGAAGGCGGCCACCUGGACCGGUAUUGACGCUGAGGUGCGAAAGCGUGGGGAGCAAAC